AUGCACGAUCCGAAUUUCAAUGGCACUGACGCAGAUGUGAAUGUUUUGUGUGAACAUGACUCAAUGGAGAAGGCAUUGGCCAAGCUAUGGGAUAUGUAUGAGGAGAUUAAGUCAGCUAGGACCAAUGCCAAUCUAGAGAGUUCAUUUGCGAUCCACAACCUGAUAGAAGAGAAGAAGAAACUACAGGAGAAUUAUGACAGUUUGUGUGCUGAUGUGAAUGCUCUUUUUGAUGCCCAGCAGCAAAGGGGUGUGGAGUUAGCCAAUCAAAAGGAGCAGAAGCAAUAUCAUGAAGUGAAGAUUGCUGAGCUAGAAACUGUAGUUGGCAACUUGAAGGCAGAGCUAUCAAAGAAAGAGGAGGAGAAGAAGAAACUACAGGAGAACUAUGACAGUUUGUAUGCUGAUGUGAAUUCUCUCUUGGAUGCCCAGCAGCAGAGGGUGGGGAACUUAAAGGCAGAGCUGUCAAAGACAGAGGAGGAGAAGAAGAAGAUGCUGCAAAACUAUGAAACUAUGAAGAACCUGGCAGGUGCUCAAGCCAAUGUGAUUAGGAACUUGAAGUUCAAUCAUUUGAAGGAGAAGGAGAGGCUGACAGAAGAGAGGCUGAAACUGCAGUAUCACAUUUCUGAGCUUCAAAAGUCUGAGGAAAAGAUAAAGUUGAAGCUUCAGGGUGUGAAGGCCAUCUUAGAUGAGUAG
rnacentral:rRNA from 1 species